UACGUAGGGGGCUAGCGUUGUCCGGAUUUAUUGGGCGUAAAGAGCGCGUAGGCGGCCGAGUAAGUCCGACGUGAAAUCUGGAGGCUCAACCUCCAGCGGUCGUUGGAAACUACUCGGCUAGAGUCCGGAAGAGGAGAGUGGAAUUCCUGGUGUAGCGGUGAAAUGCGCAGAUAUCAGGAAGAACACCGAUGGCGAAAGCAGCUCUCUGGGACGGUACUGACGCUGAGGAGCGAAAGCGUGGGGAGCGAACAGG
rnacentral:rRNA from 1 species